rnacentral:rRNA from 1 species
CAGCACCUCAAGUGGUCAGGAUGAUUAUUGGGCCUAAAGCAUCCGUAGCCGGCUCUGUAAGUUUUCGGUUAAAUCUGUACGCUCAACGUACAGGCUGCCGGGAAUACUGCAGAGCUAGGGAGUGGGAGAGGUAGACGGUACUCGGUAGGAAGGGGUAAAAUCCUUUGAUCUAUUGAUGACCACCUGUGGCGAAGGCGGCCUACCAGAACACGUCCGACGGUGAGGGAUGAAAGCUGGGGGAGCAAACCGGAUUAGAUACCCGAGUAGUCC